UACGGAGGGGACUAGCGUUGUUCGGAAUUACUGGGCGUAAAGCGCACGUAGGCGGAUUUGUAAGUCAGGGGUGAAAUCCCGGGGCUCAACCUCGGAACUGCCUUUGAUACUGCAAAUCUCGAGUCCGGAAGAGGUGAGUGGAAUUCCUAGUGUAGAGGUGAAAUUCGUAGAUAUUAGGAAGAACACCAGUGGCGAAGGCGGGUCUCUGGGCCCGAUAGUGACGCUGAGGUGCGAAAGCGUGGGGAGCAAACAGG
rnacentral:rRNA from 1 species